AUUGAACGCUGGCGGCAGGCCUAACACAUGCAAGUCGAACGAGUGGCGGACGGGUGAGUAAUGUCUGGGAAACUGCCCGAUGGAGGGGGUUAAGUACUGGAAACGGUUGCUAAUACCGCAUACCAUCGGAUGUGCCCAGUUGGGAUUAGCUAGUAGGUGGGGUAAUGGCUCACCUAGGCGACGAUCCCUAGCUGGUCUGAGAGGAUGACCAGCCACACUGGAACUGAGACACGGUCCAGACUCCUACGGGAGGCAGCAGUGGGGAAUAUUGCACAAUGGGCGCAAGCCUGAUGCAGCCAUGCCGCGUGUAUGAAGAAGGCCUUCGGGUUGUAAAGUACUUUCAGCGAGGAGGCGGUACCUGCAGAAUAAGCACCGGCUAACUACGUGCCAGCCGCCGCGGUAAUUC
rnacentral:rRNA from 1 species